CUCCAGACUCCUACGGGAGGCAGCAGUGGGGAAUAUUGCACAAUGGGGGAAACCCUGAUGCAGCGACGCCGCGUGAGCGAUGAAGUAUUUCGGUAUGUAAAGCUCUAUCAGCAGGGAAGAAGAUGACGGUACCUGACUAAGAAGCCCCGGCUAACUACGUGCCAGCAGCCGCGGUAAUACGUAGGGGGCAAGCGUUAUCCGGAUUUACUGGGUGUAAAGGGAGCGUAGACGGCGAUGCAAGCCAGAUGUGAAAGCCCGGGGCCCAACCCCGGGACUGCUCUUGGAACUGCGCGGCUGGAGUGCAGGAGGGGCAGGCGGAAUUCCUGGUGUAGCGGUGAAAUGCGUAGAUAUCAGGAGGAACACCGGUGGCGAAGGCGGCCUGCUGGACUGCGACUGACGUUGAGGCCCGAAAGCGUGGGGAGCAAACAGGAUUAGAUACCCUUGUA
rnacentral:rRNA from 1 species